AUGGCCUGGGUGUCCUACCGCGUAACCCUCGUGGUAUACUCAGGUCUCUGUGCUGGGCCUGUGCUGACCCAAACCCCUUCUGCAUCUGCCUCCCUGGGAGCCUCGGCCAAGCUCACCUGCACCCUGAGCAGGGAGCACAGUUCCUACAUCAUUCAAUGGCUUCAACAGCUGCCAGGGAGGGCCCCGUGGUAUGUGAUGUAUGUGAAGAGUGAUGGAAGCCACAGCAAUGGGCAGGGGAUCCCUGAUCGCUUCCCGGUCUCCAGCUCAGGGGCUGACCGCUACUUGACCAUCUCCAACAUCCAGCCUGAGGACGAGGCUGCGCAUUACUGUGGCGCAGGCUAUACUACUGGUGGGCAAUACGGUUAA